CGGGCUGCAGGCAGCCAGGCUGGGUUCCGGAGCCGGUCGGCGCUGCGACUUCGAACCUGGGCUGAGGGAGUUUGCUGAGCCCGAGGCUUUCUUCCCGACAAGCCGAGCCCGGGAGUCAUUGUGCUGCCCAAGUUUCCUCCGCGCCUCCGCCCCCACCCCAACUCCGCUGAGCUGUUAGACAAUUGAACACUGAUCAGAGGACUCAACUUUGAAAACCUGAAAAGUAGGACAGAAUAUGUGAAGAUUAAGAUAUAUAUACAGGUUUGCAUUCAACUUUUUUUUUUGAGGUACAGUAGAUACCAUGUUUUCAUCUAGUUCUACUCUAUUUUAUCUGAAAAACUGUGAGUUUUAAACAGGAAACUUCUGGGAAUCCUAUCCAGAGCCUCCUACAUACAAGGCAGGAACUCUGCCACUGAGUAACACACAAAAGUCCCAACAAGAAACUUGUUAAGGAUGUUUGUGUUCCAGUAUCUUUUAUGAAUGUAAUCAUUUUAUAUUGGUGGCUAUCCGCAUUGGAGAAAAACUAGCUGAACCUACCUACCAUCAGUGCCUUGAACAUUUUAGUUUACUAAAUGCUUCAGAUACAGUAUCAGGAUCAACAUUUUACUUGAAGAAUUUCUUUCAAGUUACUUUUAAGUAAAAUUUAAUAAGGAAUAGAGACAAAGAUGGUUUCAAACAUAUAUUUGUGUGGAAAGAGCCCAUAAUCACAUUAGACUAAAGUACGGUAUACAUCCAUGCAAAGGUAGUACAUCAAGAAACAAAUCCUUGACGCAAAACUAUUCUUAACAGUUUGGAGCAAAUAAUACCAGGCAGACUCCCUAGAGUUUUUGGGACUUAACAGCCUCUUGAGAGUGAGUAGUGUUUCGUUAAAAAAAAAAAAAAAAAAAAAAAGUUCCACGGAUGUAGCAGUGAGAAAAGCAGAAGUUAGGAGGCAGCAGUGAGGAUCAUUAUGGCGUUCUAAAAAGCGAAGUAGUUUCUGUAAAGCACCGUAUCUGUUGCUGAGAAUUAUGUAACUUAAUCCUCGGUCUUCAAAACCGUGUUUUUGAGCUAGUCGGAUAACUUGCUAAGAAGUUGGAGAAAUUGUCUAAAAAAGAAAAUUGUAUUGUUAAAACUAGCC
rnacentral:lncRNA from 1 species